GGUUAAGCGACUAAGCGUACACGGUGGAUGCCCUGGCAGUCAGAGGCGAUGAAGGACGUGCUAAUCUGCGAUAAGCGUCGGUAAGGUGAUAUGAACCGUUAUAACCGGCGAUUUCCGAAUGGGGAAACCCAGUGUGUUUCGACACACUAUCAUUAACUGAAUCCAUAGGUUAAUGAGGCGAACCGGGGGAACUGAAACAUCUAAGUACCCCGAGGAAAAGAAAUCAACCGAGAUUCCCCCAGUAGCGGCGAGCGAACGGGGAGCAGCCCAGAGCCUGAAUCAGUGUGUGUGUUAGUGGAAGCGUCUGGAAAGGCGCGCGAUACAGGGUGACAGCCCCGUACACAAAAAUGCACAUACUGUGAGCUCGAUGAGUAGGGCGGGACACGUGGUAUCCUGUCUGAAUAUGGGGGGACCAUCCUCCAAGGCUAAAUACUCCUGACUGACCGAUAGUGAACCAGUACCGUGAGGGAAAGGCGAAAAGAACCCCGGCGAGGGGAGUGAAAAAGAACCUGAAACCGUGUACGUACAAGCAGUGGGAGCACGCUUAGGCGUGUGACUGCGUACCUUUUGUAUAAUGGGUCAGCGACUUAUAUUCUGUAGCAAGGUUAACCGAAUAGGGGAGCCGAAGGGAAACCGAGUCUUAACUGGGCGUUAAGUUGCAGGGUAUAGACCCGAAACCCGGUGAUCUAGCCAUGGGCAGGUUGAAGGUUGGGUAACACUAACUGGAGGACCGAACCGACUAAUGUUGAAAAAUUAGCGGAUGACUUGUGGCUGGGGGUGAAAGGCCAAUCAAACCGGGAGAUAGCUGGUUCUCCCCGAAAGCUAUUUAGGUAGCGCCUCGUGAAUUCAUCUCCGGGGGUAGAGCACUGUUUCGGCAAGGGGGUCAUCCCGACUUACCAACCCGAUGCAAACUGCGAAUACCGGAGAAUGUUAUCACGGGAGACACACGGCGGGUGCUAACGUCCGUCGUGAAGAGGGAAACAACCCAGACCGCCAGCUAAGGUCCCAAAGUCAUGGUUAAGUGGGAAACGAUGUGGGAAGGCCCAGACAGCCAGGAUGUUGGCUUAGAAGCAGCCAUCAUUUAAAGAAAGCGUAAUAGCUCACUGGUCGAGUCGGCCUGCGCGGAAGAUGUAACGGGGCUAAACCAUGCACCGAAGCUGCGGCAGCGACGCUUAUGCGUUGUUGGGUAGGGGAGCGUUCUGUAAGCCUGCGAAGGUGUGCUGUGAGGCAUGCUGGAGGUAUCAGAAGUGCGAAUGCUGACAUAAGUAACGAUAAAGCGGGUGAAAAGCCCGCUCGCCGGAAGACCAAGGGUUCCUGUCCAACGUUAAUCGGGGCAGGGUGAGUCGACCCCUAAGGCGAGGCCGAAAGGCGUAGUCGAUGGGAAACAGGUUAAUAUUCCUGUACUUGGUGUUACUGCGAAGGGGGGACGGAGAAGGCUAUGUUGGCCGGGCGACGGUUGUCCCGGUUUAAGCGUGUAGGCUGGUUUUCCAGGCAAAUCCGGAAAAUCAAGGCUGAGGCGUGAUGACGAGGCACUACGGUGCUGAAGCAACAAAUGCCCUGCUUCCAGGAAAAGCCUCUAAGCAUCAGGUAACAUCAAAUCGUACCCCAAACCGACACAGGUGGUCAGGUAGAGAAUACCAAGGCGCUUGAGAGAACUCGGGUGAAGGAACUAGGCAAAAUGGUGCCGUAACUUCGGGAGAAGGCACGCUGAUAUGUAGGUGAAGUCCCUCGCGGAUGGAGCUGAAAUCAGUCGAAGAUACCAGCUGGCUGCAACUGUUUAUUAAAAACACAGCACUGUGCAAACACGAAAGUGGACGUAUACGGUGUGACGCCUGCCCGGUGCCGGAAGGUUAAUUGAUGGGGUCAGCGCAAGCGAAGCUCUUGAUCGAAGCCCCGGUAAACGGCGGCCGUAACUAUAACGGUCCUAAGGUAGCGAAAUUCCUUGUCGGGUAAGUUCCGACCUGCACGAAUGGCGUAAUGAUGGCCAGGCUGUCUCCACCCGAGACUCAGUGAAAUUGAACUCGCUGUGAAGAUGCAGUGUACCCGCGGCAAGACGGAAAGACCCCGUGAACCUUUACUAUAGCUUGACACUGAACAUUGAGCCUUGAUGUGUAGGAUAGGUGGGAGGCUUUGAAGUGUGGACGCCAGUCUGCAUGGAGCCGGCCUUGAAAUACCACCCUUUAAUGUUUGAUGUUCUAACGUUGACCCGUAAUCCGGGUUGCGGACAGUGUCUGGUGGGUAGUUUGACUGGGGCGGUCUCCUCCUAAAGAGUAACGGAGGAGCACGAAGGUUGGCUAAUCCUGGUCGGACAUCAGGAGGUUAGUGCAAUGGCAUAAGCCAGCUUGACUGCGAGCGUGACGGCGCGAGCAGGUGCGAAAGCAGGUCAUAGUGAUCCGGUGGUUCUGAAUGGAAGGGCCAUCGCUCAACGGAUAAAAGGUACUCCGGGGAUAACAGGCUGAUACCGCCCAAGAGUUCAUAUCGACGGCGGUGUUUGGCACCUCGAUGUCGGCUCAUCACAUCCUGGGGCUGAAGUAGGUCCCAAGGGUAUGGCUGUUCGCCAUUUAAAGUGGUACGCGAGCUGGGUUUAGAACGUCGUGAGACAGUUCGGUCCCUAUCUGCCGUGGGCGCUGGAGAACUGAGGGGGGCUGCUCCUAGUACGAGAGGACCGGAGUGGACGCAUCACUGGUGUUCGGGUUGUCAUGCCAAUGGCACUGCCCGGUAGCUAAAUGCGGAAGAGAUAAGUGCUGAAAGCAUCUAAGCACGAAACUUGCCCCGAGAUGAGUUCUCCCUGACUCCUUGAGAGUCCUGAAGGAACGUUGAAGACGACGACGUUGAUAGGCCGGGUGUGUAAGCGCAGCGAUGCGUUGAGCUAACCGGUACUAAUGAACCGUGAGGCUUAACCUU
rnacentral:rRNA from 1 species